CUGUGGGCGUUGCUAAAAUGUCCUCUCAAAUUCUUUGGAUAAGUUUGUUUGCAUGAUGGGAGCCAAGGGGCGGGGCAAAGGCAAUCAAGAAGGCAAUAAAUUUGGCAAUAAAUACCUACCAUGGGAGCUGUCUGCGGCAAGAUUCCUUUACUAGGUACUCUGCGGUGGUGGUCUGCGGUGGUUGUGUAAAUUAUGACAAAUGCUAAUUGCUGGUAUCAUUUGGCCAAGUAUCAGUAUCAAUGAAUUGUUCCCAUUGCAAAGUCCAUUCGAAGUUAUGAAAGGUUUGAGCCGAGGUGGCAGUGAAGUGCCCCACAGGAGCUCCAGUGCCAUGCCGCCACCAGCUGCACCGGAAAAUGGUCCCGCACCAACACCAUCACGAGCAGUGUACGGCUUUCUGCUAUUUGUGGCCAGUAUACUUGCUGCUCUUGUGUACCUGAGCUGGGCACUGGUGCCACCCAGUUGGCUGCUCUCUCUGGGUCUCGACUACUGGCCACAGCAGCUGUGGGCAUUGACAGUGCCCACCACCAUUGUGGUGGCCCUGUUUCUCUUUGUGCUGGUCAUCUACCCUUUGCUUGGUCUGGUAGGCGCUCCUAGUCUGCAUGACCCGCGAGUGUAUGAAGACGAGUUCAGUGUGACUGCGGCACCGGCCGCCCCCGGCGGUAUCCCUCCAGUCUGUGACAUCUCGCUAAGUGAGGUGUGUCGCCACCUCUACCUCGAUGGGCCAGAGACUACGGUCGUCGGCCGGGACGAGUGGCCUCCUCCCCUACCAGACUCACCUCCGGCAUCGCUACAGCACAGAGCGCGCAGGAGACAGAGCGAGCGCCCCUGGGACGCAGACGGUGACCUGAACCCUAUCCCGCGACUGCGCAGCCGCAGCGAACGCGACGCCCGGCAGGCGGAGCGAGGAAACGGCGACGUGCGGUGGCGCAUCCGCGGCGAGCUGUGGCGCGCGCGGCGCCGGCGUCUGGAUGACAGCGGUGACGGACUGUCAGCAGAGGACGAUAGCUGACACAACUCGCGUGCCUGCUGCAUUGCGAUGGGGCUGUUCCAAUGGAUUCCAACGUUGGCAACCGAUACUAAUGUGUGCUGUAAGGACGUUUGACGGUUUGCAGUCGGAACCGUGCACCGGCUCAACGUUUUGUGAUGAUGGCGGACCAAGCGAGCGGGGCAAUGAACAUUGUCAUCGCUAAUGUGAUAUUUUUUGUGAUCAAAGGCCGUUUAGUAUGGUGACAUCGAGGCGCAACUGCGCACCGCUGCUCGAAAUUUGUACACGGAAGUUAACUUGAUUGAUGAGCCAUGUUGAGGCUCAUCUAAAGCUAUGAGCCGCCGAGAGGUUCUCAGGAUUUGUUGCACCGCUUGCCAUGUCAUUUUUAUUUGGUGUGAACCGUUCACUGUAUUAGCUCCCGUUGUUCAGAGGAGGAUGCCAUUGAUGCUCAUUGCGAACGCAGUUACCGUAUUUACUAGUCAUCUCAUUCCUUGUUAUUUAGUACGAUCGGUCAAAUGUUGCUCACUCAACCAGCGAUAAGGUAUUAUUUGUAAGCAGUUCGCGGCGUCGUGCUAUGUUUUAAUGUCCUCUGUCUGCAUUUGGCCGCGUGGCGACGCCGUCGCUUCGCUAUCACCCAAGCAUUACCAGAAAUAACGGAAUAACUGGAUGCAAAUGAAA